GAUGAACGCUGGCGGCGUGCCUAAUACAUGCAAGUCGAGCGAACAGACGAGGAGCUUGCUCCUCUGACGUUAGCGGCGGACGGGUGAGUAACACGUGGAUAACCUACCUAUAAGACUGGGAUAACUUCGGGAAACCGGAGCUAAUACCGAAUAAUAUAUUGCACCGGAUGGUUCAAUAGUGAAAGACGGUUUUGCUGUUACUUAAAGAUGGAUCCGCGCCGCAUUAGCGAGUUGGUAAGGGAACGGCUUACCAAGGCGACGAUGCGUAGCCGACCUAAGAGAGUGAUCGGCGACACUGGAACAGAGACACGGUCCAGACUCCGACGGGGGGACGCAGCAGAGAAUCAUCCGCAAUGGGCGAGGGGCUGACUGAGCAACGCGGGGUAAGUGAUGAAGGUCAUCGGAUCGGAAAACUCUGUUAUUAGGGGAGGUCAAAUGUUUAAGUAACUAUGCACGUAAUGACGGUACCUAGUCAGAAAGCCACGGCUAACUACGUG
rnacentral:rRNA from 1 species